AAGUCGUAACAAGGUUUCCGUAGGUGAACCUGCGGAAGGAUCAUUACCAAUAAAAUAAAAUUCUAACCCAUGUGCACUGUGAACUGUCUUGGUUUUUGGGGUGGACUUUAGUGGUUCACCCCAACCAUUUUGUUUAACUACUUUGUUAUAUAUAUCUUGGCAUCGUAAUUGUCUUUUAAAAUACAAAUGACAACUUUUAACGGUGGAUCUCUUGGCUCGU
rnacentral:misc_RNA from 1 species